GUUGUCUUUUACCACCAAAUUUCUUUUUUCUUUUCUUAUUCAAUUUUUUUUUUAUUUUUUUUUUCAAUUUUGAGGUGUUAUUUUUUGUCAAUCUCACAUUAUAUGAGUGGACUUGUUAUUUUAUAUCAAUCAUGUUAUAUGAAUCUAAAUUAUGCCAAAAUGUCAAAAUAAACAAUUCAAGAAAUAGUUCUCAAGAUUUGAG
rnacentral:lncRNA from 1 species